rnacentral:rRNA from 1 species
UGGCUUAGAAGCAGCCAUCAUUUAAAGAGUGCGUAAUAGCUCACUAGUCGAGUGACACUGCGCCGAAAAUGUACCGGGGCUAAACAUAUUACCGAAGCUGUGGAUUGUCCUUUGGACAAUGGUAGGAGAGCGUUCUAAGGGCGUUGAAGCAUGAUCGUAAGGACAUGUGGAGCGCUUAGAAGUGAGAAUGCCGGUGUGAGUAGCGAAAGACGGGUGAGAAUCCCGUCCACCGAUUGACUAAGGUUUCCAGAGGAAGGCUCGUCCGCUCUGGGUUAGUCGGGUCCUAAGCUGAGGCCGACAGGCGUAGGCGAUGGAUAACAGGUUGAUAUUCCUGUACCACCUAUAAUCGUUUUAAUCGAUGGGGGGACGCAGUAGGAUAGGCGAAGCGUGCGAUUGGAUUGCACGUCUAAGCAGUAAGGCUGAGUAUUAGGCAAAUCCGGUACUCAUUAAGGCUGAGCUGUGAUGGGGAGAAGACAUUGUGUCUUCGAGUCGUUGAUUUCACACUGCCGAGAAAAGCCUCUAGAUAGAAAAUAGGUGCCCGUACCGCAAACCGACACAGGUAGUCAAGAUGAGAAUUCUAAGGUGAGCGAGCGAACUCUCGUUAAGGAACUCGGCAAAAUGACCCCGUAACUUCGGGAGAAGGGGUGCUCUUUAGGGUUAACGCCCAGAAGAGCCGCAGUGAAUAGGCCCAAGCGACUGUUUAUCAAAAACACAGGUCUCUGCUAAACCGUAAGGUGAUGUAUAGGGGCUGACGCCUGCCCGGUGCUGGAAGGUUAAGAGGAGUGGUUA